UAGGGAAUCUUCGGCAAUGGACGAAAGUCUGACCGAGCAACGCCGCGUGAGUGAAGAAGGUUUUCGGAUCGUAAAACUCUGUUGUUAGAGAAGAACAAGGACGUUAGUAACUGAACGUCCCCUGACGGUAUCUAACCAGAAAGCCACGGCUAACUACGUGCCAGCAGCCGCGGUAAUACGUAGGUGGCAAGCGUUGUCCGGAUUUAUUGGGCGUAAAGCGAGCGCAGGCGGUUUCUUAAGUCUGAUGUGAAAGCCCCCGGCUCAACCGCGGAGGGUCAUUGGAAACUGGGAGACUUGAGUGCAGAAGAGGAGAGUGGAAUUCCAUGUGUAGCGGUGAAAUGCGUAGAUAUAUGGAGGAACACCAGUGGCGAAGGCGGCUCUCUGGUCUGUAACUGACGCUGAGGCUCGAAAGCGUGGGGAGCAAACAGG
rnacentral:rRNA from 1 species